CCAUAGGCUGGGAUAACUGCGAGUCGAGCGCCUUCAGGCUAUGGUGAAGGCGCGGCGAACGGCUCAGUAACACGUGGCUAACCUACCCUUUGGACGGGGACAACCCCGGGAAACUGGGGCUAAUCCCCGAUAGGUGAGAAAGGCCUGGAAUGGUUUCUCAUCUAAAAGGCGUUUAGACCAUGCUUUUAGGCGUCGCCAAAGGAUGGGGCCGCGGCCGAUCAGGUUGUUGGCGAGGUAACGGCUCACCAAGCCUAUAACCGGUACGGGCCGUGAGAGCGGGAGCCCGGAGAUGGGCACUGAGACAAGGGCCCAGGCCCUACGGGGCGCAGCAGUUGCGAAAACUCCGCAAUGCGCGAAAGCGUGACGGGGCUACCCCGAGUGCCGUCCGCUGAGGACGGCUUUUCCACGGUGUAAGGAGCCGUGGGAAUAAGGAGAGGGCAAGCCUGGUGUCAGCCGCCGCGGUAAAACCAGCUCUCCGAGUGGUGGGGAUGAUUAUUGGGCUUAAAGCGUUCGUAGCCGGCUCAGCAAGUCUUCCGUUAAAUCCAGCGAUCUAAUCGUUGGACUGCGGAAGAUACUGUUGGGCUAGGGGACGGGAGAAGCCGACGGUAUUCUCGGGGUAGGGGCGAAAUCCUAUAAUCCCGGGAGGACCACCAGUGGCGAAGGCGGUCGGCUAGAACGCGCCCGACGGUGAGGGACGAAAGCUGGGGGAGCGAACCGGAUUAGAUACCCGGGUAGUCCCAGCUGUAAACUAUGCGGGCUAGGUGUUGGGGCGGCUACGAGCCGCUUCAGUGCCGCACGGAAGCAAUUAAGCCCGCCGCCUGGGAAGUACGGCCGCAAGGCUGAAACUUAAAGGAAUUGGCGGGGGAGCACCACAAGGCGUGAAGCUUGCGGUUUAAUUGGAGUCAACGCCGGG
rnacentral:rRNA from 1 species